rnacentral:rRNA from 1 species
AAACUGAUGGUCUUGAGUAGUGCAGAGGUAGGCGGAAUUCCCGGUGUAGCGGUGGAAUGCGUAGAUAUCGGGAGGAACACCAGUGGCGAAGGCGGCCUACUGGGCACCAACUGACGCUGAGGCUCGAAAGCAUGGGUAGCAAACAGGAUUAGAUACCCUGGUAGUCCAUGCCGUAAACGAUGAUUACUAGGUGUUGGAGGAUUGACCCCUUCAGUGCCGCAGUUAACACAAUAAGUAAUCCACCUGGGGAGUACGACCGCAAGGUUGAAACUCAAAGGAAUUGACGGGAGCCCGCACAAGCAGUGGAGUAUGUGGUUUAAUUCGAAGCAACGCGAAGAACCUUACCAGGUCUUGACAUCCGAUGCAUAGCAUAGAGAUAUAUGAAGUCCUUCGGGACAUCGAGACAGGUGGUGCAUGGUUGUCGUCAGCUCGUGUCGUGAGAUGUUGGGUUAAGUCCCGCAACGAGCGCAACCCUUAUUGCCAGUUACUACGCAAGAGGACUCUGGCGAGACUGCCGUUGACAAAACGGAGGAAGGUGGGGAUGACGUCAAAUCAUCAUGCCCUUUAUGACCUGGGCUACACACGUACUACAAUGGCGUUUAACAAAGAGAAGCGAAGCCGCGAGGCGGAGCAAAACUCAAAAACAACGUCUCAGUUCAGAUUGCAGGCUGCAACUCGCCUGCAUGAAGUCGGAAUUGCUAGUAAUCGCGGAUCAGCAUGCCGCGGUGAAUACGUUCCCGGGCCUUGUACACACCGCCCGUCACACCAUGAGAGCCGGGGGGACCCGAAGUCCGUAGUCUAACCGUAAGGAGGGCGCGGCCGAAGGUAAAACUGGUGAUUGGGGUGAAGUCGUAACAAAGGUAGCCGUAAAGCC